AGGCUUUGAAGAACAAGCUGCCAUGAAUCCUACAGCUACAAGGAAAUGAACUCUAUUAACUUCAGUGAGCUUAAAACUAGAUCCUUCCCCAGUCAAGCCUCCAGGUGAGAAUUCAAUCCUGGCUGGCACCUGGAUUGCAGCUUACAGAAGACCCAGCUAAGGCCAUGUCUGGACUUUAAAUCCACAGGAACUGCAAGAUGGUAUCAGAAGUGGGACCUGCAGUGGGGCAUCUAGCAACCCCCAGGAGCAUUGAGUGACCAGGCAUGGGACCCACCUGGUCCCAUGGGACCCAAUGGGCCCAGGGUGUCCAUUGUUCUCUUGAAGCAACUGAGAAUUGUGGGACCCAUGAAGGAGCAUCAAGCUCAGCCUCAGUAGGUAAAGAGUGUUAUCUUCUGACCGGCCCAGGAUCCUCAAGUUAUUGUGGCACCUUGAGAAGAUAGGAAUUCGCUCACUUUGUACAGAUAUUCUUUAUUAUUCCAUCAUCAUCUCAAACCUCUUGGGUAUAGCAUUCGAAUGCUACUGUGACCAUAAAUUCCAAUAAAAGCUAGGAAACAAUGAAACCACUGCAUUAACUGAAAGGAGAGAAAGGAACACGCUAGUGAGUCGGGAGAAAGAAUUAUUGCUUAUUAAGUUCAUUUACUUCAAUCGUGAGGAAUAGAAAGUUAAUGAGAUUGAAUAGUAAAUGGAGAAUUUUCACCUUUUUACAUGAAGGAAGGAUUUGACAGCUUCUUUUCGGCAUAUCAGAAUCACCAGCAUCACUAUUCUUGCACUGUGGGGCAAUUAUUAAGUGAAAUAAGGAUUACUUGAACACAAGCACUGCAAUGCCGCUACAGUCAAUGUGAUAACCCAGCUGGUGACUAAGUGACCAAGGACAGGGAAUAUCUACAGUGGGGAGACUCUGGAAAAAGGGAGGAUUCACAUCCAGUGCCAUUGGGGCGGGGCAGAAUGAGAGUUCAUCAUGCUACACAGAAUGGCACAGAAUGUAAGACUUGUGAAUGGAUUAUCUCUGGAAUUUUCUAUUGACUACAUUUGUACUACAGUUGUAUGUGGGUAACAAACUGUGGAAAGUGAAACCUCGGGUAAGGGGGAGGCUACCGUAGAUAGCCCAGUAUUUCUCAUUUUGUGGAUUUAUCUUUCUGCUGACAUCCUUUUCCUUCUGUAUUACCAUUUUAGUAAAUAUAGAUAGCACCCA